rnacentral:rRNA from 1 species
CUACGUGCCAGCAGCCGCGGUAAUACGGAGGGUGCGAGCGUUAAUCGGAAUAACUGGGCGUAAAGGGCACGCAGGCGGCUAUUUAAGUGAGGUGUGAAAUCCCCGGGCUUAACCUGGGAAUUGCAUUUCAGACUGGGUAGCUAGAGUACUUUAGGGAGGGGUAGAAUUCCACGUGUAGCGGUGAAAUGCGUAGAGAUGUGGAGGAAUACCGAAGGCGAAGGCAGCCCCUUGGGAAUGUACUGACGCUCAUGUGCGAAAGCGUGGGGAGCAAACAGGAUUAGAUACCCUGGUAGUCCACGCUGUAAACGCUGUCGAUUUGGGGAUUGGGCUUUAAGCUUGGUGCCCGUAGCUAACGUGAUAAAUCGACCGCCUGGGGAGUACGGCCGCAAGGUUAAAACUCAAAUGAAUUGACGGGGGCCCGCACAAGCGGUGGAGCAUGUGGUUUAAUUCGAUGCAACGCGAAGAACUCUUAC